rnacentral:rRNA from 1 species
AUUGAACGCUGGCGGCAGGCCUAACACAUGCAAGUCGAACGGUGACAGGAAGCAGCUUGCUGCUUUGCUGACGAGUGGCGGACGGGUGAGUAAUGUCUGGGAAACUGCCCGAUGGAGGGGGAUAACUACUGGAAACGGUAGCUAAUACCGCAUAACGUCGCAAGACCAAAGAGGGGGACCUUAGGGCCUCUUGCCACCGGAUGUGCCCAGAUGGGAUUAGCUAGUAGGUGGGGUAACGGCUCACCUAGGCGACGAUCCCUAGCUGGUCUGAGAGGAUGACCAGCCACACUGGAACUGAGACACGGUCCAGACUCCUACGGGAGGCAGCAGUGGGGAAUAUUGCACAAUGGGCGCAAGCCUGAUGCAGCCAUGCCGCGUGUAUGAAGAAGGCCUUCGGGUUGUAAAGUACUUUCAGCGGGGAGGAAGGGAGUAAAGUUAAUACCUUUGCUCAUUGACGUUACCCGCAGAAGAAGCACCGGCUAACUCCGUG